AAAGCGGGCCGGGCCCCUCUGACGUAGUCGACACCCCCAUGUCGAACGUGAUGUCGGACCGCAUCG
rfam:Caulobacter crescentus CB15, complete genome.